rnacentral:rRNA from 1 species
GAUGAACGCUGGCGGCGUGCUUAACACAUGCAAGUCGAGCGAAGCGAUUUUAAGGAAGUUUUCGGAUGGAAUUAAAAUUGACUUAGCGGCGGACGGGUGAGUAACGCGUGGGUAACCUGCCUCAUACAGGGGGAUAACAGUUAGAAAUGACUGCUAAUACCGCAUAAGCGCACAGUGCUGCAUAGCACAGUGUGAAAAACUCCGGUGGUAUGAGAUGGACCCGCGUCUGAUUAGGUAGUUGGUGAGGUAAUGGCUCACCAAGCCGACGAUCAGUAGCCGACCUGAGAGGGUGACCGGCCACAUUGGGACUGAGACACGGCCCAAACUCCUACGGGAGGCAGCAGUGGGGAAUAUUGGACAAUGGGGGAAACCCUGAUCCAGCGACGCCGCGUGAGUGAAGAAGUGUUUCGGCAUGUAAAGCUCUAUCAGCAGGGAAGAAAAUGACGUACCUGCUAAGA